rnacentral:lncRNA from 1 species
AUGUUUGGAGUCAUUCCAAGAAAAAGAGAGAAAAAAAAAUUCUGGUCAAUGGAGAGACGGGACCACAUUGAAAGAGAUCAGAAGACAUUCCUUUCCUGCAGCAAUAAGGAGGACACCCCUGGCUGUAAUGAGAGUCUGAUGAGCUGCUUCAAGGGAAAGGGUGAGGAGAGUGAUUGUUACUUUCUUACCGAUGACAUACCCAGCCCUAUCUCAUUUCUCCAACCACUUGAAAAAAGUUUAUUGACAUAGACACUCAAAUGGGAACCAAGGCCCUCAUGUUAAUGUCAAGACCUGGAGGAUGAAACCAGUGAGUGUCGUUUUUGGCUGCUUUAUAGGAAUCAGUUAAGAAACACUCGUGUUCACUCAGUUCUUUUUUUUCUGCUCUUAGGACACUGUUUAGCAUAUUUUUAAUAGAGUUCCAUUAAAUCUUUCUAACUUUUGGUCCUCUGGGGCUAAGGAACUGCCUUUGAUGUUUUUAUUUUCGCCAUUCAAAACAUUUCUACAUUAUAAACAACUCUCAAAAUUUCUUUUUUACUCAGAAUGCAGAUGGAGUGGGAAAUUCAUAAACUGAAAAAAAUUAUUUGCAUCAUUCAAGAGUGUAGAUUUUCUAAGCUUACUGGAUAUACUGUGGUUAUUGAAGCAUCCCGCCAGGUGGGACAAGUAUGUUGCAAAGCUUAUGCUGUUCAGUUGUUCAGACAGAACGACUGGGAGCUUUUAUGUACAUAAAUGC